rnacentral:rRNA from 1 species
UACGAGGGGGGCAAGCGUUGUUCGGAAUUAUUGGGCGUAAAGGGCGCGUAGGCGGCGCGGUAAGUCACUUGUGAAAUCUCUGAGCUUAACUCAGAACGGCCAAGUGAUACUGCAGUGCUAGAGUGCAGAAAGGGCAAUCGGAAUUCUUGGUGUAGCGGUGAAAUGCGUAGAUAUCAAGAGGAACACCUGAGGCGAAGGCGGGUUGCUAGGCUGACACUGACGCUGAGUGCGCGAAAGCCAGGGGAGCAAACGGG